rnacentral:rRNA from 1 species
CGGGGAAUAUUGGACAAUGGGGGGAACCCUGAUCCAGCAAUGCCGCGUGUGUGAAGAAGGCCUGAGGGUUGUAAAGCACUUUCAGUGGGGAGGAGGGUUGACAGGUUAAGAGCUGGUUAACUGGACGUUACCCACAGAAGAAGCACCGGCUAACUCCGUGCCAGCAGCCGCGGUAAUACGGAGGGUGCGAGCGUUAAUCGGAAUUACUGGGCGUAAAGGGUGCGUAGGUGGUUUGAUAAGUUAGCUGUGA